AGCGAACGCUGGCGGCAGGCCUAACUCAUGCAAGUCGAACGAAGUCUUCGGACUUAGUGGCGGACGGGUGAGUAACACGUGGGAACGUGCCCUUCGGUUCGGAAUAACUCAGGGAAACUUGUGCUAAUACCGAAUGUGCCCUUCGGGGGAAAGAUUUAUCGCCUUUAGAGCGGCCCGCGUCUGAUUAGCUAGUUGGUGAGGUAAAGGCUCACCAAGGCGACGAUCAGUAGCUGGUCUGAGAGGACGAUCAGCCACAUUGGGACUGAGACACGGCCCAAACUCCUACGGGAGGCAGCAGUGGGGAAUCUUGCGCAAUGGGCGAAAGCCUGACGCAGCCAUGCCGCGUGAAUGAUGAAGGUCUUAGGAUUGUAAAAUUCUUUCACCGGGGACGAUAAUGACGGUACCCGGAGAAGAAGCCCCGGCUAACUUCGUGCCAGCCGCCGCCGUAACAC
rnacentral:rRNA from 1 species